UACGUAGGGUGCGAGCGUUGUCCGGAAUCAUUGGGCGUAAAGAGCGUGUAGGCGGCCAGAUAAGUCCGCUGUGAAAUCUCGAGGCUCAACUUCGAGCUGUCGGUGGAAACUGUCUGGCUAGAGUCCGGAAGAGGAGAAUGGAAUUCCUGGUGUAGCGGUGAAAUGCGCAGAUAUCAGGAAGAACACCCGUGGCGAAGGCGGUUCUCUGGGACGGUACUGACACUGAUGAGCGAAAGCCAGGGGAGCAAACGGG
rnacentral:rRNA from 1 species